CUAAGCGUAUACGGGCGCACGAUGGAUGCCUUGGCAUCAGGAGGCUAUGAAGGACGCGGAAGACUGCGAUAAGCUUCGGGGAGCCGUCAACAGGCUUUGAUCCGGAGAUCUCCGAAUGGGGCAACCCGACCACCUUCAUCGGUGGCCAUUCACGGAUAAAUUCAUAGUCCGUGGAAGCGACACCCAGGGAAGUGAAACAUCUCAGUACCUGGAGGAAAAGAAAUCUAUGACAUUGCGUAAGUAGUGGCGAGCGAAAGCGCAGGAGCCCAAACCGAAGAGCUUGCUCUUCGGGGUUGCGGGACUCGGACGUGGUACGAGGACGGUUAGGCCGAUCCGCUGGAAAGCGGAGCCAUAGCGGGUGAAAGCCCCAUGGCCGAAAGCCCGACUCGACCUACGAGGAUCCCAAUUAGGACGGUGCACGUGAAACGCCGUCUGAAUCCGGGGGGACCACCCUCCAAGGCUAAAUACUCCCUGAUGACCGAUAGUGAACAAGUACCGCGAGGGAAAGGCGAAAAGAACCGCUGCUAGCGGAGUGAAACAGACCUGAAAUCGUGUGUCCACAAGCUAUGGAAGCGUCGCAAGACGCGACCGUUUGCCUUUUGCAUAAUGAGUCCGCGAGUCACCGUAGCGAGCGAGCCUAACCGAAAGGGGAGGCGAAGCGAAAGCGAGUCCGAACAGGGCGUUUAGUUCGUUGCGGUGGACCCGAAGCCCAUGUGAGCUAUCCUUGGACAGCGUGAAGCCUCCGUAACAGGAGGUGGAGGUGCGAACGAGUGACCGUUGAAAAGGUCUUCGAUGAGCUGAGGAUUGGAGCGAAAGACUUAUCAAACUGGGUAAUAGCUGGUUCUCUCCGAAAUGCCUUUAGGGGCAGCCUCGGACAAUACUUCCAGCGGGUGUAGAGCACUGAUCGAUCUAGGGCCCCUACCGGGGUACCGAAGUCCGUCAAACUCCGAAGACCGCUGCGACUGCAUAUCCGGGAGUGAGACAGUGGGGGCUAAGCUUCAUUGUCGAAAGGGAAACAGCCCAAGACCGCCGAAUAAGGUCCCAAAUGCACGUUAAGUCACUAAGGCAGUGAAGUCUCUCAGACAGGUAGGAUGUUGGCUUAGAGGCAGCCAUCAUUUAAACAGUGCGUAACAGCUGACUACUCGAGAGACUCCGCGCCGAAAAUGAUCGGGAGUAAACGUGCAACCGAAUUCGCGGGCCGAUGCUUUGCAUCGACGGUAGGAGAGCGUAGUACGACGGGCUGAAGCGGUGCGCGGAAGCGGCCGUGGACUUCGUACUAGUGAUUAUGCGGACAUGAGUAACGAAAAACCGUGUGAAAAUCACGGUCGCCGGAAUCCCAAGGCUUCCCGGGGCAGGUUCGUCCGCCCGGGGUCAGUCGGCACCUAAGGCGAGGCCGAAAGGCGUAGUCGAUGGACAGCAGGUUAAUAUUCCUGCACCGGUGGGGGUUUAAGUUUGGCUUGGAGAAGGACAGUGACGAGGGUUAAUGGCUAUCCCUUGUACGGCCCGGAAGGGCCGGACCGAGCUGCGGUUCGCCGCGGCAAGGCCAUGCGUCCAUGCUUCCUAGAAAAGGCCUUACGUAUUAACCCGCCGGCCGUACCAAAACCGACACAGGUGGGAGGGUACAAAGAUACCAAGGCGCGCGAGAGAAACCUCGUUAAGGAACUCGGCAACAUAGCCCCGUAACUUCGGGAGAAGGGGUCCUCCAGGGCAAUGCCUGGAGGCGCAGUAAAUGGGCCCAUGCGACUGUUUAACAAAAACAUAGCACUCUGCAAACACGCAAGUGGACGUAUAGAGUGUGACACGUGACCAAUGCGGAAAGGUCAAGGCAAGGGGUCAGCCGCAAGGCGAAGCUCCGAACCAAAGCCCCCGUGAAUGUCGGCCGUAACUAUAACGGUCCUAAGGUAGCGAAAUUCCUUGUCGGGCAAGUUCCGACCUGCACGAAUCGUGUAACGAUAUGGGCGCUGUCUCAACGAGGAUCUCGGUGAAGUUGUAGUGCCGGUGAAAAUGCCGGAUACCCGCAGAAGGACGGAAAGACCCCAUGAACCUUUACUGUAUCCUGGUACUGGAUUCUGGUCAGUUGUAUGUAGCAUAGCCGGGAGGCUUCGAAGCGGUUUCGUCAGGAACCGUGGAGCCGCAAUGUGAAAUACCGGUUUCAGCUGGGCGGGGUUCUAACCGCGAGCCCUCAUCGGGCCGCGGAACAAUGCCAGGGGGUCAGUUUGACUGGGGCGGUUUCCUCCCAAAUAGUAACGGAGGAGUUCGAAGGUACACUCAGUGCGGUCAGCAAUCGCACGUCGAGCGCAAGGGUAGAAGUGUGCCUCACUGCGAGACGGACACGUCGAGCAGACGCGAAAGCGGGACCUAGUGAUCCGGCGGUAGCUUGUGGAAGCGCCGUCGCUCAACGGAUAAAAGGUACUCUGGGGAUAACAGGCUGAUCGCGGCCGAGAGUUCACAUCGACGCCGCGGUUUGGCACCUCGAUGUCGGCUCUUCGCAUCCUGGGGCUGGAGAAUGUCCCAAGGGUUUGGCUGUUCGCCAAUUAAAGCGGAACGCGAGCUGGGUUCAAAACGUCGUGAGACAGUUUGGUCCUUAUCCUCUGUGGGCGCAGGAAAAUUGAGGGGAACAUUCCCUAGUACGAGAGGACCGGGAAUGACUUACCAAUGGUGUUUCGGUUGUCGCGCCAGCGGCAGGCCGGGUAGCUAUGUAGGGAACGGAUAAGCGCUGAAAGCAUCUAAGCGCCAAGCCUCCCCCAAGACAAGUUUUCCCAGCAGCAAUGCUCUGAAGUCAGGUUGUAGACCACGACCUCGAUAGGCCGAAGGUGUAAGCGCAGCGAUGCGUUGAGCUGAUCGGUACUAAUAAGACGUGCGGCUUAGCUUA
rnacentral:rRNA from 1 species